rnacentral:lncRNA from 1 species
UCAAAGGUUGGAUGUAAAAAUGUUUGAAAAUGAUUGAAAAAUAAAUUUUAAAAAUAAAUUAAAAAGAAAAUGAAAUAAAAAAUUAAUAAAUGCAAAAAUGAUUUUAAAAAAUGUUAGAAACAUGUAUGUGAUGCAAAAUAAUUUUAGAGACCUUGUGUAAAAAAUUGGGAUAAAAAAUGUUUAAAAAUGAGAGAAAAAUUAAUUUGGAAAGAAAAGGAAUAAAAGAAAAUAAAAAACAAUAGAAAAUUAAAGGAAAAAGGCGCCAACGGUCAGAAGAUU